GACGAACGCUGGCGGCGUGCUUAACACAUGCAGGUCGAACGGAAAGGCCCUGCUUUUGUGGGGUGCUCGAGUGGCGAACGGGUGAGUAACACGUGAGUAACCUGCCCUUGACUUUGGGAUAACUUCAGGAAACUGGGGCUAAUACCGGAUAGGAGCUCCUGCUGCAUGGUGGGGGUUGGAAAGUUUCGGCGGUUGGGGAUGGACUCGCGGCUUAUCAGCUUGUUGGUGGGGUAGUGGCUUACCAAGGCUUUGACGGGUAGCCGGCCUGAGAGGGUGACCGGCCACAUUGGGACUGAGAUACGGCCCAGCCUCCUACGGGAGGCAGCAGUGGGGAAUAUUGCACAAUGGGCGGAAGCCUGAUGCAGCAACGCCGCGUGCGGGAUGACGGCCUUCGGGUUGUAAACCGCUUUCGCCUGUGACGAAGCGUGAGUGACGGUAAUGGGUAAAGAAGCACCGGCUAACUACGUG
rnacentral:rRNA from 1 species